rnacentral:rRNA from 1 species
AUUGAACGCUGGCGGCAGGCCUAACACAUGCAAGCCGGACGGUAGCACAGAGGAGCUUGCUCCUCGGGUGACGAGUGGCGGACGGGUGAGUAAUGUCUGGGGAUCUGCCCGAUAGAGGGGGAUAACCACUGGAAACGGUGGCUAAUACCGCAUAACGUCGCAAGACCAAAGAGGGGGACCUUCGGGCCUCUCACUAUCGGAUGAACCCAGAUGGGAUUAGCUAGUAGGCGGGGUAAUGGCCCACCUAGGCGACGAUCCCUAGCUGGUCUGGGAGGAUGAGCAGCCACACUGGAACUGAGACACGGUCCAGACGCCUACGGGAGGCAGCAGUGGGGAAUAUUGCACAAUGGGCGCAAGCCUGAUGCAGCCAUGCCGCGUGUAUGAAGAAGGCCUUCGGGUUGUAAAGUACUUUCAGCGGGGAGGAAGGCGAUGUGGUUAAUAACCUUGUCGAUUGACGUUACCCGCAGAAGAAGCACCGGCUAACUCCGUGCCAGCCGCCGCCGUAA